rnacentral:rRNA from 1 species
UGGGGAAUAUUGCACAAUGGGCGCAAGCCUGAUGCAGCCAUGCCGCGUGUAUGAAGAAGGCCUUCGGGUUGUAAAGUACUUUCAGUCGGGAGGAAGGUGUCAAGGUUAAUAACCUUGGCAAUUGACGUUACCGACAGAAGAAGCACCGGCUAACUCCGUGCCAGCAGCCGCGGUAAUACGGAGGGUGCAAGCGUUAAUCGGAAUUACUGGGCGUAAAGCGCACGCAGGCGGUUGAUUGAGUCAGAUGUGAAAUCCCCGGGCUUAACCCGGGAAUUGCAUCUGAUACUGGUCAGCUAGAGUCUUGUAGAGGGGGGUAGAAUUCCAUGCGUAGCGGUGAAAUGCGUAGAGAUGUGGAGGAAUACCGGUGGCGAAGGCGGCCCCCUGGACAAAGACUGACGCUCAGGUGCGAAAGCGUGGGGAGCAAACAGG